rnacentral:rRNA from 1 species
AUUGAACGCUGGCGGCAGGCCUAACACAUGCAAGUCGAACGAGUGGCGGACGGGUGAGUAAUGUCUGGGAAACUGCCCGAUGGAGGGGGAUAACUACUGGAAACGGUAGCUAAUACCGCAUACCAUCGGAUGUGCCCAGAUGGGAUUAGCUAGUAGGUGGGGUAAAGGCUCACCUAGGCGACGAUCCCUAGCUGGUCUGGGAGGAUGACCAGGCACACUGGAACUGGGACCCGGUCCAGACUCCUACGGGGGGCCGAAGGGGGGAAAUUUUCACAAUGGGCGCAAGCCUGAUGCAGCCAUGCCGCGUGUAUGAAGAAGGCCUUCGGGGUGGAAAGUACUUUCAGCGAGGAGGCGUUACUCGCAGAAGAAGCACCCGCUAACUCCGUGCCAGCAGCCGCGGUAAUUC